GCAAAAAGGUUCCAAUUGCUGUCAGCUUCUUAUCCCAAAAGGUGCUCCAGUAGUUGCGUCGUCGACUGCGUCUGUCGCUCCUCCUCAGAUCAUGUAGGAUCACUCACGUAAAGGCUCAAUCGAUGUUCGGAGCUAUUCGUCGCGGGCGCGUUAGAAGCAAAUCUUUACCACGGCUCUCCUGCACAGCCUGCGGGAUAGAAACCAAGAGGGAUAGAUGGUAUUCCCAGAAGGAAAUAUGAAGAGAGUAUAGAAUGAGGAAUUUUACACGUUGUUUUGGCAAGGGAAGAUGGCAUAUAAGUUGUCAACUGUCAUUGACAUCCAUCACUGUGUGUGAGUGUAAACUCACCCCCCCCUUUUUUUGUCAAAGCAAACAAACUGCCAUGUUUGGCAUCAGAUUCCAUGGUGAUUAGAC
rnacentral:sRNA from 2 species